GCCUAGGAGCCAUGCAAGUGUCUUCUUCAAAACCCCGUCAGAUCCGGAAGGAAGCAGCGGUAUGAAGAACGAGCUGUGCCGUGGAUUUCCUAGGCUUU
rnacentral:SRP_RNA from 1 species